CGAAAUGCGAUACUUGGUGUGAAUUGCAGAAUCCCGUGAACCAUCGAGUUUUUGAACGCAAGUUGCGCCCGAGACCUUUAGGUUGAGGGCACGUCUGCCUGGGCGACACAUACAGCGUCG
rnacentral:rRNA from 1 species